UUUUUGGUUAGCCGGGUGAGCGAAUAUUGGAAUAUUCUAAAUUUCAACAUGGAAAGAAAUAUGAGGUUGAAACCUAAGUGUUGUGUUCCAAAUUGUGAGGAUAGGACAUGCAAGCGUCAUCGGUUUCUGAAUCCAGAAAAAUAUCCUACUCUCUUCAAACUUUGGGUGGAAAAAGUGAAUAAUUCUAUCCUAAAAAAUAAAACACCACAACAGAUACGGAAAACAUAUCUUGUUUGUGAUAGACAUUUUCCAAAAAAUCACAAAACAGAGGGCCGAAAAGGACCCGUCCUGGUUUCUUCCUGAUGAAAGUGAUGAUGUUCUGGAAAUGCAAGAAUGUACGAAUGUUCCAGAGAUCCAUGAAGGCAACAAUGAUCUGAUGAUAGGGGAACCUCCUGGCUGUUCAAAUUCCAUCCACUUAUUGAGACGAGGAGCAGUCAAGAAAAGGGUGAUGAUGAACAUUCACGAAAAAAUUUUACUGAAAAGACUGACUUAUCAGAAUAGAAAAUAUAAUGUUUGGUUUUUUCAA